rnacentral:misc_RNA from 1 species
GCGGCUUCUUUGCUGGUCUAUUCCGGGCACGACAACAUCGCUCAAAUGUUGCAACGCAGCGCAAGAACCGUCCAAGGAAAUCGCUCAUGGCCUAUGAAUUCGCCAAAGUGGACCGCAAAGGUCCGCUGACCAUCAUCACGCUCAAUCGCCCCGAGGUAAUGAACGCCGUGCAUUCGCCGAUGCAUUUUGAGAUGCAUCGCGUUUUUGACGAGUUCAACAACGAUCCCGACCAGUGGAUCGCGAUCGUCACCGGCGCGGGCGACCGG